ACGGAGGGUGCGAGCGUUAAUCGGAAUUACUGGGCGUAAAGCGCGCGUAGGCGGCUUUGUAAGUCAGGGGUGAAAGCCCACGGCUCAACCGUGGCAUUGCCUUUGAUACUGCAGAGCUUGAGUUCGGGAGAGGGUGGUGGAAUUCCAGGUGUAGGAGUGAAAUCCGUAGAGAUCUGGAGGAACAUCAGUGGCGAAGGCGACCACCUGGCCCGAUACUGACGCUGAGGUGCGAAAGCGUGGGUAGCAAACAG
rnacentral:rRNA from 1 species